ACCAUUGGCAAUGUCCGUACGUUACUAACGGUCGGUGGAUUAGCUAACGUUAGUAACGUUUUAUUCAUAAACCGCUCCUUAAACCGAGCUAAAUCAACGUUAGCUACGUUUUAGUGUUCCAACAUUUGUCAUGGCAUUAUAGCUAGCUAGCUAGCAAGCCAAUGUAGCAUACGAUGACUCAGAUAAGCUAGCCAGCUGCUAGCUAUCUUAUGAAGUGUGACAUUAAGCUUAAUUAACGUUAUUUCAAAGGAGUCGUUAAUGGAGACAUUUCAAGGCUGUGUCGUUGUUAUCUUUUAUGUCUGUUUGCACAUUCAAAUUUACGUUGUCUAUCGGUUUUAUUUUUUAUUAAGAUAUAUCUGAGUCAUUGUAUGCUAGCUAAAUUGGCUUGCUAGCUAGCUCGGUUUAAGGAGCGGUUUAUGAAUAAAACGUUACUAACGUUAGCUAAUCCACCGACCGUUAGUAACGUACAGACAUUGCCAAUGGUAAAUUAGUUUGGGAUAUUUUAAUUUAGAAGUCUAAAAAUGGGCGGCAACAUUUUUUUUUUCACGGCAACUGUAACCGUCCUCAGCCUACGUUAUGAAUGACCAUGACUGUUAAAAGACGAACACUGCCAUCUUGCUUGCUGAAUUGUGAACAUGCAGAAAAAGGAGGGAAAUAGAGGGAAAUUUGUAUUCCGCUAUCAUGUAGCCUAUUUUGAAUGCUCAUGCUUGCAUGUGUUUUGUGUUAUGUAUAAAGUACUUUAUGUAGUUCCUUUUAAAUACAAAAUGCAAAUUGUAAUGCUGACGAAGACAGGCGAACACAUCGCCGGUUCCCGCCAAUAGGUUCAUUUUAGUUAGUGAACUACCUGGCAAAGAAGUCUUGCAUCAAUCUAAUCUGUUGGGACCAACGUGCUAAAUUUCACCUGCAUGAGCUAUUGUCACAGAGUACUUUGCCUCCAUGCAGCUGAAUUCCACUAAUAUAGAAAUUGGCUGAUUCUAACUGUGUGUGUGUGUGUGUGUGUGUGUGUGUGUUGCCUGCCAAAAUAACUAUUCUUGAUUAUUCAUUAUAAGUUAUUAGCUGUAAAAUGUUGUUGUUGGCGUGAUGAGAAUGACCACUUGCUUGCUUGACAUUUCUGAAUGCUUAUUGAACAGAAAGCUGACUGAGAACUGGAGCCUUACAACAGAGAAAAUCCUCUCUAUCGCCCCAAAAGAGAAGACGGGUGACCUUCUGAACAAUCUUGAAGAUUUCUCAGCAGACAGACGAGGAGACAUCGCUUUGCUUCUGCUACCUGUGGUGAUCCCCCCCCCCCCGGCACCUACAAAAUCCGGAGAAAGAUGGUCCGCCCCAGCUACGCCGAAUCUACAAAAGCUUUCGUAGAUGAGCAGCCUGUUGGAACAAACAUCGCUGAAUACCUUACGAAAAGGACAAGCACAGAGGUCCCACAUGUGCUUCUUCUUGAGGACAGGCAUCAGUUUUCACAAGCCUUUGUUAUAGUGCAUGGACAUGCCUUGGAGCACCCAUCUCUUCUUGGGGCAGUAGAUGCCUGCUUUAAGGCUUUUUAUGUUUUUGAUGUACAGUAUCCUAGAUCUUGUGCACAAGUGUGGGAGUUUUUGCAGACGAUAUAUGGUAUCCCUGGACAUGUUAGAUCAUCAGUACAGAUGAUGCGA